GUGGUAAAAAAAUAAAUACGAUACUCUGGAUAAUUUCCCGGGUGAAGUGCUCACCGAUAUCCGUGCGCUUGCGGAUCAAUUCCUUAUUGCGUUCCCAAAUAUCAACAAGCAUUUCUGGCGCCGUUGCCGGGGAGAAAGACGGUUGCAGUCUUCUCUAUUUAUCACUCACAUCGAAAGACAUUCUUUGUGCCUAAAGGUUAGUAGUAAUAGACCCGUUAGUCAGAUGCACUCUUUCUCCUAGUGGUAAAAAAAUAAAUACGAUACUCUGGAUAAUUUCCCGGGUGAAGUGCUCACCAAUAUCCGUGCGCUUGCGGAUCAAUUCCUUAUUGCGUUCCCAAAUAUCAACAAGCAUUUCUGGCGCCGUUGCCGGGGAGAAAGACGGUUGCUGAGAUAACCUGUGUCUUGCUAUUAGCUUGUAUCUAUACUUUUAUCUUUUCUUAUCUUUUUUAUUAUUUAUUUUCUUUACUCUUACCUU
rnacentral:lncRNA from 1 species